rnacentral:lncRNA from 1 species
CCAUUCGGCCAGCGGUGGGCGGUUGCCACAGCUGGUUUAGGGCCCGGACCGUUGGGGCCCCUUGUCAGGAGGAGGCAGCCUUCGGGCUGGGGAGUAGUCGCUGCCACCUCGGGCGGCCGACGCGGUCCCCUGGGAUAGUGCACUUCCUGGCCUCGUUUCCCCGCUGAGUUCGCUCUCCGGGGUUCAGGGCUGGAAAUUGGACUUUUGAUGAUGUUUGACCCGGCGGCAACAAUAGCAGGCAACGUAAUUUCAAAGCUGGGCUCAACUUCUGUUUCUUCCCGCUUGUAAUCAUAAAGCCCAUUUUGGACCAGGAGUUCCAAUCAUGUCUGUGAUGGUGGUGAGAAAGAAGGUGACACGGAAAUGGGAGAAACUCCCAGGCAGGAACACCUUCUGCUGUGAUGGCCGAGUCAUGAUGGCCCGGCAAAAGGGCAUCUUCUACUUGACCCUCUUCCUCAUCCUGGGGACGUGUACGCUCUUCUUCGCUUUCGAGUGAGUUUCUGUUGAGUAGCAUGGCCUGAUUAUAGUUAAUCUUGGGUCCAGGGAAAGAACCGUCUUUCUGGGGAGUUUGUCAGGAGUCCUGGGAUGGGCCCUGGGCCUCUUGAGCGGUGCCUAUAGAUCGUGCCAACUGAAUUCAUCGCUUUGUGCUCAUAACAGAGUAUGUGCUUCCUCAAAAGCCCAAGACCUCUGAUACCAAUUUUACUGCACUGAUUUGGGGCCACCCCUGGAACACUGGGGGAGUAAAGGAGUUUGUCUUUAUCACUCACCUCCCCUUAUCAGUGGUCUCCUUAGAUGCUUAGUGCCUGCCUCUUCCCCACCCCUCCUGAGCCUAGAGUCUAGGGGCACUUCUCGUGGCCCAUGAUACUCAUAAUACUCACCCAUUCUGUUAUUCUGGGUCCUAUUUCCUUAGGGCUCGGCUCUUAGCUAGCUGUUAAAAUCGAAAAGCCAACUGAAUUGGGAACCUGCAGAUUGGUUCCAGCCUCAGCUGUGCCACAGUCUAGCUGCAUGUGUGGCACAUAUGUGCUUAUUAAAUGUGAGUUGCUCUUUCUUUCAGUCAAAAUUGCUCAACAUAAACAACUCUCUCUUCUGUGUGUGCCUGAUACCAGCCUGGGAGGUAUUUUUUCUGUGAUGUAAUAGCUGGUACUAGAGCCACUGUUUGAAGUCUGUGUGGGUCAGCCCUCUAGGGACAUGGCCAGUUGGAUUCUAGGCUAUUGUGGCAUGACUCCUGGGUAUGCUGAGAAUGCUGUACACUCCAGGGAUGGGAGCAAUGCUAAUUGGUUUGGGAUUAUUAUGAGGAAGGCUUUGAGGAGCCAAGAGGUGUGUUUCUAGACUGUAAGCCACACCUACGAUGAGCCUGCUACCGUACAUGUACUCAGGCGACCUGGAAAUGGAGCUCCCAUACUGGGGCAUGGCAUGGGGCGGAGGAAGGGGCUUCUUGGCCAGCCUUCGUGGGUGAUUAAAAUGAGCUGUGGUCUCUUGGGACUCAUUUGGGUCCUGUGAGGGCUUCAGGCUUACCUAGUGCAUCAAGAGUGAUUUUUUCCCAGCUGCUUUGCUGGACUUUUUGAUGGUUGCAGCUGGCUUGAGUAACAGCAGGCGGAGAGGGGGACCUAGUUGAUAACAGGGCUGGGAGAGGAAGGUCAGAGGACCUCAUGGUCAAAGGUACUUCUGUUGCUGCUGCCGACUUUGUGAAGUAUUUGGUAAAGUCAAGCAGGUUGAUGAUGGUUUUUUAGUUGCUUUCCAGUCUGAGUUUCAUGACUCUGUGUGUGUGUGUGUGUGUGUGUGUGUGUACUUGUGGGCGGUAUAAGUGAGUGUGUGCAGGCAGGCAGGCAUAUGCCUAACAUUAAAAAAUGUUUCCCCACUCCUCACCCUUCUCUCCAAGUUUGCUUUGCUUUAUCCCUGCUCUGCUGCUUUUUGGAAGUGCAGAGCUCAACCCUGUUCUCCGUCAUUCUCCCUCCUUUGCCUGCUCAAUCACUAGCUCUUUUUGCUACUACACCCCCCUCCAGGAUUAAAUUUUUGUGGUUGGAACCAUUCAAAACAGAGAUGAGAUUUGUUUCUAGGCCCGGAGUGAGCUGGUAAUUCUGGGCCCAGGAAACCUCUGGUUUGACUGGCCAAGAGAACUUGAAAUUUGGAGCUGCUGGCGUCCAGCCCUUUUGUAUCUGGGAGCCAGGCAGAGUCGGAUUUGGAUCUGUUCCACUUCGGCCCUGAAAGCCUCUGAAGAAAACGGCCUGUGGGGGUGAAGCUUAUAAUUAGCCAGUUACUGUUUGACAGAGGCAGGUUGGGUUUUCUACCAAGAUUUUUUUCUUUUUUUCCCCAAGUUAUUUCUUGCGCUUUGCCCUCAGAUGUGAAGGGUGAGGUUGUUUGAAACUGCCCUGAGUUCCAGCUGUGUCUGUGUGUAGAGUAAAUAUUUUGGAGGCGAGGGCUGGGGAGGGGGCGAGUAGGAAAGGGGGAGGGCUGGAGGAAGUGUUAGCUGGGGAGUGGAAUGGGGAAGUCUGCAUUUAACCAAAGGGAAGAGGUCCCUGGCCAUGAAUCCUUUUUACUGAGAAUGCUGGAAUCUGUGUUUGUGAGCACGAGUGUGUGUGUUUGUGGGUGAGCGCCCGUCUGUCCUAUGCAGACACACAGACACUCUAGGUGGCGGCUGCCUUGCGCCUAGCCAGUGACAGGCUGUGCAGAGGAUACCAGCAUGGCUCUGAGGAAUCACAUCGCUUUCGGGUCGGCCUUUUCCUUUGGGGGUCUGUCAUUUACUACCCACCGCAUGGUGGGGGGAUAGGGCUUCAGGUCAGAAUAUGGGCUUCUUCUUUAGUAUGAGAAAAGGAGACGUCAGGAAAUCUGCUCAUCUAGACCCCUACCUUCAGGCAGUUGAGGGUGUCUGAACCGCCAGUGACAAAGGGCUGUCUAUCUUCAUCUUUAAAUUGUCCAGGAGCAUAGACCGCGCUUUGUCUGGCUGCCGCGUUUUUGGCCUUGAGGAAGAACAUCCAGAUCUCGAGGCACAUCUGGAGCUGCAUUUUAGUAACAGGGUCCGGCUUGCGGCAGGUGCAUAGGAAUGAGUGCGAGGUGAUUUAUAGCUGCCCGUGGCACAGCCCUGGGUCGGCCAGAUGGCUUGAGAAAUCUGGUCAGGCGUGUGGGCGCCCCUUGAUGCAAAACAUGCAGUGUUAGUGGUGCCAGUGGACAUCUUUUUAUUUUUGGAUUUUGCCUUUACGCAUUUAGACUUCUCAAAGGAGGGACCUGUAAUUUUCAGUGGACAGAAAAUAGAUUGACUACAUAAGAUGGAAAAUGGCCUGUAUGGUUAGAACUGUUUCCGAAGAAGCUGGGUAGCCAUCUCUCAGGGCUGUUGUCACAGAGCGGAUCCCUGCACAGGAUGGGAAAUUGGGCUAGAGUUAUUACUGAGCCUCCUGCAACUCUGAGAGUCUGAAAUUCUAUAUAACUCUUCCGUCCAUCUGGAAGAUUCAAACACAGACGCAGAAAAGGAGAAGAUAGAAGAUGACCAGUAGGUAGCUGUGUCUUAAAUGUAAUUGUAUCUAUAGUAAAUGUGCUUGGAUUUAGAAGCAGAGUGUCAUUUCUACAGUGCUUUGAAAAAACGAAGAAUUUCCUAAUGUAUUCUUAGGGUGAGGCAUUUAGGAAAUGUGAGUGUAUAUGCCAGUUUCAGCUUUGAGCCCUUGCACCGUUUCUCAGUCCUUUCUGCCCAAACCCUGUGCAGCUUGUGUGAUGAACACGUAGCCAACAGCUUGGCCGGGAAUGUCGGGACACUAUAGCAGAAUGACACUGAUGACCUGUGAGCUGUCCAGCUACUGAAAGGCUGUUGGGGUAUUUAGUCACAUUCAACUUGCUGAUAAAGCUUGGGGGAAAGGGCCAAAUGCACUGUCUUCUGGGCUGUCUCUUUCAGCUUUGUGACCAGAUCACUAGUGGGGUCAAGGUCCUGAGGCUUGUUUUGUGGCAAGAAGGACUAUGUGACGCUUGACCCCUGAAGUAGUAGUUUGCUGCUAUGAUCAAUGCUUAUGCCUCCCUGUGCUGUCUGUAGAGGAAAUCGUAUCAAGUGACUAUCAAACUCUGUUGCACUGACCCUCGUGGAUGCUUCUGAUGUACAGAGGAGUCAUUGAAUUGGAUGAACUGAAACAAUCUUUGUAGCACUGCUUAGUAAUUGUCCCACUUCUAGCCUAUUCAACUUCUACCUCUUUUUCAAGUCCCUUCUUGAGUCCUCCUCCAUGAAAUUUUUUUCUAGUAAUUUCUGCCUUUGUAGGACUAAUUGUACGUACUAGUCAUUUAACACAUAAUUAGGUGAUAUUUCUUGUAUUUCUGAAGUCUAUGGUUAUUACCCUUUGAGCUCUUUCAAUGUCAGGGACUAUCUUCUGUGCCUCUGUGGCCCCCACAGUGCCCUCUGUCAGGCCUUACGUAGAGCAGGUGAUCAGUGAAUGUUGUGGAAUUGAUACAUUCUGGAUGCACUUCGAAUGGAAUAGUCUUGACUUAGAAAAUCAUAGAAGGAUAGAGCCAGAGGGGGGCCUUAGAGACUAUCCCCCCAUCCUUUUGCAGGUGAUGAAACCAGGUCUACAGAAACAGGGUUAUUUCAUCAAGAUCAAUUGGCCAGCCAGUGCCUCUCUAGGACCCCACUCUCAUCUCAUUGUUACCUUUGAAUACGGAGUCCUGAAGACAUGCCGAUUACCCAGCAUAGUGCUGAGUAGGGGAUUGGCAUGUUCCGGGUCCUUACUAGCCAGUAAGUGUUUGUGUUACCUAGUGGACCCCAGGUGGUUUGGGCCUCCCUAGCUCAUGCUCCUAGAAAACGAAGACUUCUUCCUGGGAAACUGAUGGCAUUCUGGUAGACUUGAAGUUAACAAGGAAGCCCAUCUUAAGUGUGAACUUAGAA